rnacentral:lncRNA from 1 species
UGCGAGACUGUUCUCACCUCUGCCUGUCAACACUUGGGCCACUGGCCAGAGCCGCUGGAGCCAUGCGGCCAUCGCCCCGACCCCCAAUGAUGGCCCAGACUUGAAUGGAACUUCUUUUGUGACGUACCCAGCAGGUCAACAGUGUCCAAGCAAGGACGGUCCCAGGAUCAUCCACAGAAGGAAACUGGCAGCAGGCCCUCCACACAUGACCAAGGAAUCUGCAGUCCGCUAAGCGGGGAGGGCGCUGCCCACGUCAAUCUACACAGAAAAGCACCCCUAGAGGAGCCAGCCUCAAAGGAAGCGCAGAGGAGGGAACGCGCCUGCACGAAGUCUCCUGGGAGAGCCUUCCCGAGGCGAAGACUAAGGCCAGAGCAGGGCCUUGCCACGCCCGGGGCACUCAGCGGGAGGAAACCUGGAGGUGCCAGGAAUCCUGGCUCACAAGGAAGAAUCCAGAAAGGCAGGCUUGGUGCUGGUGACGGCUGAACUGUGACCCUCCACCCGACCUGCAUCUGAAGCCCUAACCCCAGGACCUCAGAAUGUGACUGCUUUUGGAGAUGGGGUCUUUAAAGGGAUCAUUAAUGCCUGGGCGUGGUGGCUCAUGCCUGUAAUUCCAGCACUUCAGGAGGCCGAGGCAGGUGGAUCACCUGAGGUCAGGAGUUCGAGACCAGCCUGGGCAACAUGGUGAAACCCCGUCUCUACUAAAAAUACAAAAAUUAGCUGGGUGUAGUAGCAGGUACCUGUAAUCCCAGCUACUCGAGAGGCUGAGGCAGGAGAAUCACUUGAACCCGGGAGGUAGAGGUUGCAGUGAGCAGAGGCUGCGCCACUGCACUCCAGCUUGGGUGACAGAGGGAGACUCCAUCUCAAAAAAUAAAAUAAAGGGUCAUUAUAAAGGACAGUGAGGUCACGAGGGUGGGCCCUCAUCCGAUAUGACUUAUGUCCUUGUAAGAAAAGGCGAUCAGGACACAAACAUGUACAGAGGAAAGACGCAGGGAGAAGAUGGCCACGGGCAAGCCAAGGACAGAGGCCUCAGCAGGAACCAACCCUGCUGACCCCCAAUCUUGGCCUUCCAGCCCCCAGAACUGUGAGAACAAUCAGCUUCUGUUGAAGCUGCCCAGGUGAUGGUACUUUGUCGCUGUGGGUGAGGUGAGGCCCGAUGGAGAGGCUGUGGGCAGCCUCCAGGGGCCAGGGCCAGGGUUUGAUGCCCCUGAAUGCAGCGAUCCAUGGGGCCUUCUCCUGCCUCUGAGCCCCUCCCUCACCCCAGCCUUAGCCUCAUCCGGGGUUGCUGUUUCCCAUGGCCCCGUCCAGGCCACAACUCUCUGAAGGACACAAGCCUGUGACCUACUUCUUGGCAUGCCUGAGGCUGGGCACAGCAGACAGGCUAACUGCCCAGCCCCAGGCUCUGGUGGGAGCUGCCCCACUCCAGGUGUCAGUUUCCCAAGCUGAAAAUGCAGGACUUUGGAUGAGCUCCUAGCAGAGGAGAUACUCUUCUGAGAACCUCUGAGGUGAUGGGAUUCUGUGCCUCUGGGUCAGGGUUUUUGUUGUUGUUGUUGUUGUUUUGAGACGGAGUUUCGCUCUUGUCACCCAGGCUGGAGUGCAACGGCACAAUCUUGGCUCACUGCAACCUCCACCUCCCAGGUUCAAGCUAUUCUCCUGCCUCAGCCUCCCGAGUAGCUGGGAUUACAGGCGCCUGC